UCCUCUGGGGGCUGUUGGGCUUGUCUUCCGUGGCAUCAGCUACUGAUCUGUGUUGCCUCCUAGGGAUCCAUAUCAUCUCCUAGGGAUCCAUGUCAUCUCCUAGGGAUCCAUGUCAGAUGCUGUGAGAGUCCUGUAGGAAACCAGCUGAUGCAGAGAGUGGAUCUGCUCUUCCCCCAUCAUGCAGCAGGACAGUCCUAUGCUGGGGGUGAGCAGCUCAUUCCCUGCCCGUGGCUCCGCAGCCGCGGAUUUUCCGUCUCCCUUGGCGACACGGGAAGUCUCAGCUCUCACCAGUCUCGUGCUGGUGUCACUCCUUAGCUCCCGUAACCCAGCAGGGAUUGGCACCACGAGCUGCUGUGCUGAUGCUUCUGAAGCACCAGAGGCCAGGUCUGGGAUGUCAGAGGGCUGCACAGAGAGACUACAAAGCAGCUUGGCUUGGCUCAGUUAAGGCUGGAAGACUGGGGAACUUUAAAAUUCCUGUGUUGAGCAGAGCCCUUACAAGGAGAGAUCAGCAAGUGACCUGCCCUCGAUUAAAAAGAUCCUGGUUUCCCACUGCAACUCUUAGUCCUGUUUGUAGGGGUGACUUCCUGGGUGACCACAUCUGCUCUGAGGGUCACUUAGGGUUGGUGAUACAACAGAUCAUCACAGGUGUGGCAUGGGAUUUGAUGUGAUUGUGUGACUCCUGCUGCCAGAGGGAGGGGAUGAUGCCCUGUGCGAGGUGCAGGGGCUCUCCCAGCUGUGGGCUGAGGGAUGUGGCCUUUCCUUUGCUUUCAGAAGUCACUUUUCAAAAAGCCACCCCGCUGUGGAGAGCCAGCACUGGCCUUCAGACACUGCUUAAUCCUCCCAAUUGGAGUUUAAAUACUGUGAGGGUCUGCUAAGCCCCCUCACGAGGGGAGAAUUUUCACCUAAAAAGACCAUCUAAUAAAAGAGCUCCCACCCCCUGCUCACCCCCAGAAAACCAGCCAGAGGUGGGCACAGAAACCAAUUCUUAACUUGACACACAAAACACUCUGGAUGCAAACCAAGAACAACCCGGGUUUGUUUCAAAUUGACACAGUUUCUCUUACUCUUUGUGUUGCUUUAUAAUUCCAUGUAGACAGAAAGGAUUAAUUUCCCACUCGUGUUCAGGGAAUAUCCACACAGGCAGCCUUUAGGUGCAAUUUGUCACCUGUUUAAAUUCCCACACUCAUCAAUGGGAUGAUUAAAUUCAAUUUCCUUUCAAGUUUAAAUAUCUCUAAAGAUAUUCCCCAAUCCAGGAGAGCACUUAAAGCAAGUUGCUUCACCUUGGGCACGUGAGUGGUUCCAGGGAUGUCAAGUGCUUUCCUGGACAAGGGCUGUGAUCCAGAGCAGAUGUGCACCUGCACCAUGGAAUGAAAACCAAGCAAAUACAGAAAACUUAAGGCACCAGGGGUACUAGAAACUUGAUUGUUUUUGAGGUCCUGCAAUUUUGCUCCUGUCUGUGAGGUUUUCAGUUGGAAAAAAAAAAAAAAAAAAAAAAGGACAAAAACCAAACCCAAACUCCAACAAAAUGAGGGAAAUUAGCUACAGAAAGGCCUCGUUUCAAAGGCACAUAGUUCUUUCAAGUCUCCUGGGGGAAAUUUUACACAAUCCUACUUUCAAAAUAAUGUUAAGGUUGCAAAAUUGAGCAAUCAUAAAAGUCAGGAAAUUUAAAAAGUUAGUAUGUGUCUUUCAAUGUUAGCUCAGCAAUAGCAAAUAUAUGUAGUGUGAGAAGUUUAUACCUGCGCUCUCUGUGUUAAAUUUAAACUUUAAAGUGUUCUUGUUGACCAUUAAUAAGCAGCAUAAACUAUAUUGGGUAUUUAAUGUCUGUAAGAGGCAUCUUAAUUGUAGGAAUUUCCUGGCCUUGCAAUUCAGAGGGUUUGGUUCUGAAAUAAAAUGUCACUGCUGUGUUA